rnacentral:lncRNA from 1 species
AUGGUGCGUGGGGCCCAGGAGGCCACUGUCCAGGGCUGGACCUGCUGGGGCUCCCCCUGGUGGCCACGCCGGGUCCCUGUGCUCCAGUUCACAGAGUGGCCUGAGCCGGGCCUGCCCUGUGCCGUUUGGGGGACCUGGGGCAGGGAAGGCCAGGCUGGGUCCCCAGGUUCUAGCCCCCUGCAGGGAGGGUGGGUUCACUUGGUACUUCCUUGGGGCCUGUGCCCAGCAGGGUGGCCGCCCUGUCCUGCCUCCACCAGGCAUCCUCCUUUCAGCCUUAGAUGUCCAGAGGAGGGAGGGGGUGAUGGAGGCCGUCUCUGCUCGGGUGGGGGGACACGCCCUCUCAUCAGCCCAGGGUGGGGUGCCUCGGGGGCUGGGUGUGUGGGGGCCUUGGCCUGCCUGAAGGCACAGACUGCCAUGCUCACGUGGGCCUGGGGGUCGGCCCCUUCCCAGGCUGAGGGAAAGGGUCAAGGAGUGGGCGGAGGUGGGAGGAGGAGCCCAGGGCUGGUCUGGUUGGGAGCAGAGAGGCUGGGGGCGGUCUGCCCCAGGGCCCCCACGCACGGCCACCCACCUCUGGACACCCCCCAGAGGUCUUUACUGAUCCCUUUUCGCCCAGUUGCUGGGACCUCCUGGCUGUCGCAGCCCCGGGCCCCUGUCCAGGCGGCCUCCUUGCCUCUGCCACCUGGCCUCCUCUUCCUUGGGGCCCCAUCCCGGCCUGCUCUUCCAUCUAUCUCACCCUGUACCCUACACCACGCUGGGGUGGGUCUACAGGGAGGGGCUCUCCAGUUCCCCAGGUCGUCACUCCUCUGUUCCCAGGGGAGGAGGGGGGCCCAGGAAGGGCAGGCCUUGUGCCCAGGGCUCACAGCGAGGCCUUGGCAGAGACUUGUGUCCCCCGGGUGUGAGUGCCCCCUGCCUGGGCCCAUUCCACUAGUCCUUGAAAGUUGGCCCUGGGGUGGCUGUGUGGGCUGUGUCUUCCCUGGGGCCCUGGGCAGGUGGCCAACAGGGACACAGACCCGGUCCGUCCCUCCCCGGCCUGCUGCAGCUGGCCUGGCCGUGAACUGUCACACUGGUGCCGUUAAUGGGCACCUCCCGUGCCGGGCUCUGGAGGGCCCAGCAGCCCUGCCUGGUAGGAAUCCAGUUCCUUCCCGCUUCCAAACACGGUCUCUCUGUCUCGGUUCCCUGAGGGGCUAG